rnacentral:rRNA from 1 species
UUGGUCAUUUAGAGGAAGUAAAAGUCGUAACAAGGUUUCCGUAGGUGAACCUGCGGAAGGAUCAUUAUUGAUUGUGAAUCGUUGCCUUCUGUGCUGGCCAGCUCUGGCAAGUGCACGCUGGUGACUUUCCUCCAAUCCCCACCCCAUGUGAACCUUUAGCCUCCGCUGGCUUUGGCUGGCAGAGGAUUUUUACACCGACUCGAAUGUAAUGAAAUUAUCAUUGUGCGUAAGCACUACGAAUGUACAACUUUCAACAACGGAUCUCUUGGCUCUCGCAUCGAUGAAGAACGCAGCGAAAUGCGAUAAGUAAUGUGAAUUGCAGAAUUCAGUGAAUCAUCGAAUCUUUGAACGCACCUUGCACCCUUUGGUAUUCCGAAGGGUAUGCUCGUUUGAGUGUCAUUGUAAUCUCACACUUCUGAUCCUUUGGAUCGGGAGUGGUGGACUUGGGUGUUGCUGCUUGACGGUGGCUCACCUCAAAUGCAUUAGUGCAACUCCAGGUUGGACAUAGUACGGCGUGAUAAGUAUCUUCGCCGGCACCUCACCAGAGGGUGGCUAAUCCGGAGCUCUGUGCUUCAAACCGUCUUCGGACAAUGACUGACAACUUGACCUCAAAUCGAGUAGGACUACCCGCUGAACUUAAGCAUAUCAAUAAGCGGAGGAAG